AUUACUGAAACGUGGUGUUCAGUGGAAUUUCAUCCUGUAUUAAUUUUUUUGUGAAAAAAGUGACAAGUACAAUGUUUAACAGAGGACAAACAAGAAGACAGUUAUCACAUAUUGCAACAACCAUCUCCUGGGCUUCUGCUGUAGCUGUUUGAACAUCAACUCACAUUAUGAGCUCACCGUUUUGUAAAAAUGUGGUUACAAUUGCAAUUUUAAAGGUUAAACCUUGAUUAUAAAAAAAGACAACCAAAGACAAGGCACACAUAUCUCACAAGCACCACAAGACAACGUGUAUUCAAGAAGCCAUUGAAAGGAUCAGAGUGAUGGAGCUAAAAUUGUUGUUUCCCUUUCUGAUGUUACAUGUGAUCCAUGAUGUCCAUUCCUCCAGCAGUCAAUGGACAGUGAGCGUGCCAAAAAGGAUUUCUGUGUUGCAGGGCUCCUGUGUGGUUAUUCCUUGCCUCUACAAUUACCCAAAGCCCAAAUCAAAGAAGAUAUUGACCAGGUGGAAGGGAUUUUGGAUGAAUGGGAAAAAGGUAGUCUCAACCAAUGUCCCCAAAUGGAAACUAAUUAAGGAGUACAAAAAAAGAACCCAGUUUUUGGGAAAUAUUCAAGCACGGAACUGCACCAUGCUGCUGGACAGUGUGGGGAGGAAUGAUGCUGGCCCUUUCCACUUCAGGAUUGAAAUGCCGCAAUACAAAAGCUACUCCUACACCACAACACCAGUGACCAUCAAUGUGACACGCAUUCCACAGCCUCCAACUCUGUCUGUGGAGAUGAAUGAGAAGGUGACGGCCUCCUGCUCUGUGUCUCACUCCUGCCCAACGAUUCCUCCUCAAUUCUCCUGGAGCCACCGUGGAAUCGUCAAUCGUCAGUCAAAGAGGCUGAAUACCUGGCAGUGGCAAACAGUGUCAACCCUGACCUUUCCCUAUCGACCCUCCGAUUUCAACAAGCCUCUGAACUGCACAGUGCUGUACAGAGGAGGGAAGCAGGUGACGAGCUCCAUGAUCCUCAGAAUGUGACGUGAACCCAGUGCAUGUGUGUUUCAUUCUGCAUGUUCAAUUAAUCAAUGUAACAAGAAGUUUUAAAUCUGUAGUUUAAUGUUACAUAAUCUUACAGCGCCACAUGUGUACAAGUUUACUCUCCAUACAGAUGUUAAUAGCUAAUAGACAAUUAUUAUCCUUAUGUAGUGUGAUUAAAGAGAUACUGUUGAACUAAAAGUGAACUACACUGAACACAAUCAGUCAGUGAACACUUCAGUGCACACUGUAAAGUAAUUUAAAAGGGCACAAAUGACUACCUAAUAAGUGUCCAUCUCAAAAUCAAUAUUUACCACUUAAUUUCUGAUGUAUUGACUUCAGAAAUGCUUCUCUGUUUUGAUCUUCUUCUGUCAUUUUGAUUCAAUUGUGUUUGGUAAACAUUAAUAAAAACCAUUAAAUGCAAA